rnacentral:rRNA from 1 species
AUUGAACGCUGGCGGCAGGCUUAACACAUGCAAGUCGAGCGAGCGGCGGACGGGUGAGUAAUGUCUGGGAAUCUGCCGGAUGGAGGGGGAUAACUACUGGAAACGGUAGCUACUACCGCAUACCAUCAGAUGUGCCCAGAUGGGAGUAGCUAGUAGGUGGGGUAAUGGCUCACCUAGGCGACGAUCCCUACCUGGUCUGAGAGGAUGACCAGCCACACUGGAAUUGAGACACGGUCCAGACUCCUACGGUAGGCAGCAGUGGGGAAUAUUGCACAAUGGGCGCUAGCCUGAUGCAGCCAUGCCGCGUGUGUGAAGAAGGCCUUCGGGUUGUAAAGCACUUUCAGCGAGGAGGCGUUACUCGCAGAAGAAGCACCGGCUAACUCCGUGCCAGCAGCCGCGGUAAUUC